rnacentral:rRNA from 1 species
CGGGUGAGUAACACGUGGAUAACCUACCUAUAAGACUGGGAUAACUUCGGGAAACCGGAGCUAAUACCGGAUAAUAUAUUGAACCGCAUGGUUCAAUAGUGAAAGACGGUUUUGCUGUCACUUAUAGAUGGAUCCGCGCUGCAUUAGCUAGUUUGUAAGGUAACGGCUUACCAAGGCAACGAUGCGUAGCCGACCUGAGAGGGUGAUCGGCCACACUGGAACUGAGACACGGUCCAGACUCCUACGGGAGGCAGCAGCC